rnacentral:rRNA from 1 species
UUGAUCCUGGCUCAGGAUGAACGCUAGCGGCGCGCUUAACGCAUGCAAGUCGAGCGAUGAGGCUCCCUUCGGGGGGUACAUCAGCGGCAGACGGGUGAGUAACAUGUAGGUAACCUGCCCUCAAGACGGGGAUAACGCCUGGAAACGGGCGCUAAUACCGGAUGACCUUAGUUGGGGAAGCACGGCUAAGGAAAGGCUUUGGCGCUUGAGGAGGGGCCUGCGGCCCAUCAGUUAGUUGGUAGGGUAACGGCCUACCAAGGCGAAGACGGGUAGGGGGUGUGAGAGCACGGCCCCCCACACUGGGACUGAGACACGGCCCAGACUCCUACGGGAGGCAGCAGCGGGGAAUAUUGCGCAAUGGACGGAAGUCAGACGCAGCGACGCCGCGUGCGUGAAGAAGGCCUUCGGGUUGUAAAGCCCUUUUCUGUGGGAAGAGGAAGGACGGUACCAUAGGAAUAAGCGUCGGCUAACUACGUGCCAGCAGCCGCGGUAAGACGUAGGACGCGAGCGUUAUCCGGAUUUACUUGGGCGUAAAGCGUGUGUAGGCGGCGUGACAAAGUUGGGCGUGAAAAGCCCCG